UUCGUCCUACGGGGGGCAGCAGUGAGGAAUAUUGGUCAAUGGGCGAGAGCCUGAACCAGCCAAGUCGCGUGAGGGAAGACGGUCCUAUGGAUUGUAAACCUCUUUUGCCGGGGAGCAAGACCCGCCACGAGUGGCGGAGCGAGAGUACCCGAAGAAAAAGCAUCGGCUAACUCCGUGCCAGCAGCCGCGGUAAUACGGAGGAUGCGAGCGUUAUCCGGAUUUAUUGGGUUUAAAGGGUGCGCAGGCGGACCAUCAAGUCAGCGGUAAAAUCGUGGGGCCCAACCCCAUCCCGCCGUUGAAACUGC
rnacentral:rRNA from 1 species